rnacentral:rRNA from 1 species
AUACGUAGGUGGCAAGCGUUGUCCGGAAUUAUUGGGCGUAAAGCGCAUGUAGGCGGUUUGGUAAGUCGGUCGUGAAAAUGCGGUGCUUAACGCCGUAUGGCGAUUGAAACUGCUGAACUUGAGUGCAGGAGAGGAAAGGGGAACUCCCCGUGUAGCGGGGAAAAGCGUAGAUAUUGGGAAGAACACCGGUGGCGAAGGCGCCUUUCUGGACUGUGUCUGACGCUCAGAUGCGAAAGCCAGGGUAGCGAACGGGAUUAGAUACCCCGGUAGUCCUGGCCGUAAACGAUGGGUACUAGGUGUGGGAGGUAUCGACUCCUUCCGUGCCGGAGUUAACGCAAUAAGUACCCCGCCUGGGGAGUACGGCCGCAAGGCUUAAACUCAAAGGAAUUGACGGGG